rnacentral:rRNA from 1 species
ACGGCCUUCGGGUUGUAAACCCCUUUCAGGAGGGAAGAAAAUGACGGUACCUCCCCAAGAAGCCCCGGCCAACUACGUGCCAGCAGCCGCGGUAAUACGUAGGGGGCAAGCGUUGUCCGGAAUUAUUGGGCGCAAAGAGCUCGUAGGCGGCUCAGCAAGUCGGCUGUGAAAUCCCGAGGCUCAACCUCGGAACUGCAGUCGAUACUGUUGUGGCUAGAGUCUGGUAGAGGAGAAUGCAAUUCCCCGGUGUACCGCCGAAAUGCGCAGAUAUCCG